AGUCGUCCAUACAUCAUUUCUUGAUUGCAUGCUUCUGAGCUGAGAAAACAUCAAGUGAGUGUAACUCUCUGCAAGUGAGUGUUCCCAUCCUUGCAUGUACAUGUCCUUUUCAGGCAGAAUUACGUCAGCCAGAGGUCUGCUUCUGUCUCUAUCGGUGACCGUGUAGCCUUGCAAUCAAAACCAUUGCUUUUUUAAAGGCUUUUUCAGUAUUCGUGCAAGUUGUACUGUUGAAACCUACUUCUGAUUUUCUCCAAGCCAGGUUCUUUCAAGUCUUCUUCGUCGGCUUACGAUUUCAAAAUAAAAAACAAACACAUUUUAAGAAGGCCCAGGGGGAAUUUCAUCAGAAAUUCGGGUGAAUUUCCCACGGAAAUUCGAAUGAAUUUGUCACUGAAAUUGAAAUCUAUUUUACCCGAAUGAAUUUGGAUGAAUUCCCCACGGAAACUCGGAUGAAUUUGCCACGGAUUUUCGAAUGAAUUCCCGGAAAUUCCGAUGAGUUUUGCCCGGAAAUUUCGGUUUUCGAAUGACAGAUGUGAUGGAGAUUCUGAAGAUGAUGAGGAGGAUCAGCGAUCGUUAAGAUACGGGUUUGCUGUUUAAGAGAGGGCAACAACCCGGAGUUUCCCGACAGCUACUCUAUAGCUGUGCUGCGGCUGAUGUGUUUGGAGAAGAGACUGAGGAAGAACUCCGAGCAGUUUGCUAAAGUCCGUUCCAUGACUGUCGACUAUCUCGUCAAGGGCUACGCACGCAAAGCGACGGAGUCAGAGUUGUUGGACUGCAGCAAGGUGUUGUGGUACGUCUGAAACCCGUCUGCAAAGAAAAAACUUCGGCGUAGAUGUAAAGCAGCUGCGGAAUCCAGAAGAAGCCAAGAGAGCGCAAAAGUUUCUAUUCCGUUUUCCUGGAGUUUCUGGUGUCUAUGGAACAACGAAAGGUGGAUCAAUGUGUACGGUUCAGCAAGGAUAAGGAUUGCGGAACUGAAAGAGUACUGGGGAUUGUUUGGAGCCCGGUUAGCGACGAGUUCUCGUUUUCUAUCAAGCUUCCUGUGUGGAGAGAAUCAGCCUACCAAGAGGAUUCGUUUAAGCUGUGUGAUGAGCUCUUUCGGCACGUUAAGGAUGCUGUCCGUAUUCACCUUCUACUGAAAACUGCUGAUUUAGGACCUGUGGCGUACCGGAUGUGAGUGGGACCAGUGCAUCGAUGAACUGUGCAUGGAGAAGUAUUACCACUGGAGUGGUACAAUUGCUCCGUAGACACAAGUCAGGACACGUAAGGUGUCGUAUCGUACAUUUGCUUUGAAUCAUGGACGUUCGCUUAUGAAGGCGAGGUCGAAGGUAGCGCCGUUGCAACACAACUACAGUACAAAGAUCAAGGCUGUCGAAUUUAGUUGGUGAGUCGAUUUCGUUGACGGUGAUGCAGCGUUGCACCUCUGUUUGACCUGACUCGAGGCGAUUCCAGUUAUCGAUUCGAUGGUGGACCCGCUGCGGUUUUCGAUGAGUACUUAAGGUCAUAGUACGGACACGUCUAACGAUUUGCGCUAAACUGUAGAAGAAAGCAAGAGAUCAAAUCCGUACCGGCCUCUGCAAAGAUAAGAAGCGUAGUCAAGAAGAUUGAACGAGUGAAGAAGCUAAUCCCGCUGAUGCGAGAGGAGUACGGAGCUCGACCCAAACUGAUUGCUUUGCAGAUGAAAUCGACACAUUGGCGAAGAACCAGAAGCUGCCGUGUUACUAGCAGCAGCAAGUGGACCAGAUCAUAAGUUUCUAUAGCUUGAGCUCGUCGCCGGAGGUGACGCUAGACGCCGAAGAUGUACUACGAAUGGAAGGCAAAGAGGCGCACUAGUAUAAGCGUGUAGCUUAUGGCAACACGGACACCGCAGUCAACGAAAUUCAGCGCUCGCUCCUACACUGAACAAAAAUCCCCGCCAAAAAUUGAAUGAAAAUUGCCUCAUCCGAGCCCCAUGCCUAAUAUCAGAUGAUUUGAAGAAGGCUCUCAUUCAACUGCCGAUUUGACAGAAUCAAAACAGACGCUAUGAAAAUCAUUCAAAGUUAGAAUUAUACUCAUACAAUUCAAAAUCAAAACAAAUCUAGAUAUGGAUGAUGGUCAUACAAAACUCGUUCAAUACAGCGGAUGCGAAAUGAAUGAAAAUAAUUACGAAAUCAAAUAUUAUUUAUAUGGGAGUUAUUCACUUGUGGAUUCAAUAAUUUUGAAAAAUUCUGGCAAAAACUAAUAUCACAACCAUUUCAACUAAUUUGAGUGACACAUCAAAUGAAGUGAUUUUUACUCAAAUUAGUUGGAACGGCUGUGAUAUUAGAUUUUGCCAGAAUUUAUGAAAAAAAUGUAUACAGCAAAUAUGUUUCAGAAAUUAACUUUGUAUUUGACUACUCUUUACAAAUAACGAUAUUUCACAAAUCAAAUUGCCGCAUCACCGCUGUCAUUUUCACGCCAUAAUCCUCCUUCCUGCACAAACCGAUGCUGCUUGAAACGGCUUCGCACUGAGAUUCUCUGAAAAGAAUAAAACAAUUAUCAUUAUUACAAUAAAAAACAAUCCAGGGGAACUUACCGAAACGUCGUAGAAUAAACAUCAGGCGGUUCAUUCUUGUGGCCUAAGAGUACAUAUUUGGCUGGUUAAACACUUAAUAUUUCCUCCGCGAGUCUUUUUUCCCUGCAAAGUAAAAGAAAUACUCCGAUCGGCACCAUUUUUUGCGAAUGCAAAUAGCGCACCAACAGCUAAAUGAAAGGUAGGGUAUCGCGCUACUUGGGCGGUGGUUUUCUUCGUCUGUUAUUUUCGUCUGUUUUCCACUGUAACUCGGUCAAUUUUGAACCGAUUGACUUGAAAUUUUGUACACGGGUAGAUACUAUACCUAUCUCACCGCAUUCCAAGAAUUGUGUCAAUUGGUUCAAGAUUGACUGAGUUAUAGUGGAAAACAGACGAAUAUAGAAGCCACCGCCCAAGUAGCGCGAUUCCCUAAAUCAAAAAUAGAAUGAUAAUCGGAAUGGGGAUAACAUGAAAUAUAUUCAGCUUGUUUCAAAUCUCAUAUCAUACCAAAGAUAAACAAAAUUCCAUCAUUAUUGUUUUGAAAAUCAUUCAAUCAAGAUUGUCAUUCAGUUUCAGGGAUCAGCGAUUGAUCACAUGGCUGAACGAUGAUUCAUUCGUUUGGCUGCGGGGAUUUUCGUUUGGUGAUGGGAUGAUUUUCGGUAUGAGGCACGGCAGUAAAUGCUUUCCGAUGAUUUUGUGACGAUAAUCAUUCACAACAAUCCCCAAGCAAAAAAUCAUUUAGUUAUUGUGUCAAUUUUAGUUUUAAAUCAACAUGAUUACAAUUUAGUUGUAGGCAGUAAAACAUUCUGCUGUGAAAUCAUUCAAAAAUCCGAUUCUGCGAAUCUGUAUCGCAUUGAAUGAAGAAUCAUUCUUCGUACGGCGGGGGUUUUCGUUCAGUGUAGGUAAAAACUCUGCGAGCGGAGAUGAAGAUGAUCAGGAGAGUCUGCGUAUGGUGCAAGAUGCAGAAGACUCGUUCGUUGAACUCGAGGAUUGCUUGACACUGCUGGAUCGCACGUAAAUAACAUCGCAUCUUCUAUCAUUCAGCCACAGGAAUUGGAGGAAUUCACUGGAAGUUCUCUGCACUGCUUCAGUUUCUAACCGCCACCAUGUAGAUCUUCAUAAUUAUGGGUUAGAAGUGGAUGCAGACCGAUCAAGAUGUUUUCCGCAACGUUGUUACCAAUCCGGACUUCACCUGCGCUUGGAAGCUGGUUCAGUCUGCCUGGUUUAAUUUUCACCCGUGCCUUAUGGAGGCACUAGGGGUAGGGACGAUGUUUCCCGCUAGUAGGGCGACCAAGAUUGGUCGAUAGUCACUUCCUUCCGGGUUCGGAUCUGCUAUGUCAAUUUUUCAUAUAUCUAGCCUCUGUGACACCAUUAUUGGCCGAUUCUACGAUAUUAUCCUCGUUCUUACUGUACGUUUGGUUCGAUAGAACGUGUUUGAACUGUCGUUCAAGCUAGUGAGUCCAUGUUUGUUGGCAGCAUUGACCCGGAUAGAGCCCCGGGGGUUUGAUCGCCGGCUUCCCCAUGUCCGAUGAUGGCCGUUGACAACACCGAGGAGCAGCCUGCGACCUGCGUUCAGGAAUAUUCUUCAGAGUUUCGUCGAUCAGACAGGUUCCCGUCCAACAGAUAUAUUGACGAGAUCGAUGGAGGGGGAAAGGCCAUGUUGUUCUCACCUCCAUUAUGGAGAGGUCAGUUUCUAGAUCUAUCCUUUCUGAGGACAGUUCCGCAGCUAUUCCAAGAAGCGACGGAGUAUUAGACGUUCUUCUCGGCAUCUUAGCAUACCAUCUGUAGCUACCGUAGAGAGUUCGAUUCAUAUGCUCUAUUCCUGCCUGGUGGAUCUUCUGUAGAGCUAUAACCGUGGGAAUCCGCGUAAUCAGGAGGAUCUCCAUGUCUGGUAGAUUAUAGACGAGGCUGUUUAUGUUCCAUUACUAGGCUAUGACCCUAUGUGGGCUACGACUGUGACUGAGACUUACAGCCCGGGUUGGGAUUUUUGGAAUACCUAUUCAGGCGGCGUCUUGUGGCAUUGUGGUUGGAGGUAUUGUCUGGGGUUUGCUGUGGUAGUUUUGUGUCCAUAGUACACUUCUUCUCGGAAGAGGCAGAGAUUCGUACUGUCAGAUAUAUGAGGCUGGAUUGAGUUUUUGUAGUAGCGUCGUUGAUUUUGGUUUAGCUGUAUGUACAUUAUGUACGGCUGAUUCAGGUGAACAAAGCUAUCCCUGUACAACUGUGUGGAGGAGGUCGCCCAGAAUGCACCGGUGGUUGAUAUGCCCUGGAUAUCUGGGCCUUGCUUUUUCGGGCCGAGAUUAGUGUUCACCUUUACGGUUUUGGAGGCGGUGGUGCUCAAGAACCAGUUUUUGACAGGAUCUACGGGGGUUUCUAUUUUGAAGGAUCUUUGUUCCCACGUCCUUUGGAGAAUUGAACGCUCCAAGUUUAUCCCACAGUGCCAAUACUGGUUUGGUUUCCCCUGGACGCGUCUUAUGACUUAGCUACCCCAUAGUCAACAGGAAAAGAGGCCUGGCGUCUUUGUCCGUCUCUUUGGUACGGCCAGAACUUCCACAUCGACAACGGGCCCUGACUACACGGGGAAUAUGCGUCCCAGAGGCAAGAGUUCCGUCAGAAUGCCAGAGGUUGUUCAUCAGUUCCGGAUGAGGUGUAACGUCCGCAGUGGUGCAAGGCCCUGGCUGCUCUCAAAGCCUCUGUUACCUCUAACUCCCUUCCAAUUACUUAGUGUUGUAGUUUUUUUUCGGGUAGGUUGUUACUACACUCAGUCAACACGUUCAAGUUAUUAACAUAAACGUUAACGUAUAGUGCAUAGGUCGUUCGGAAGGACUGAAUGUAGUUCAAAUUUCGGACUGCCGUCAACUUUGCCUUUGUGGGACUUAGAGUUCCGCUUGGCCUUCGUGGGGUAGGAGGUGAAAUCCGUUGGGGAUCCUGUUUCUCCAGUAGUCGUUUACGGUUUACCGGUGAUGGACGAGUCGCUUGCAGUGGAAGAACCGAUAGCAGGCAUUCACUGGAGUUGACACUUGCUCCAUUGAUAUUGUGGUCACUAGUCACGCCUAUCAUACUCUGCGGAUCAUAGGUCAUUCUCAUUCUACAAGUGGAGUGACGUGACCCAGCUCGAGCUGCAGAUCGAGAUUUCUCAUCUCGAAAUAUGACUCCGACUUGUGUCACAUCACUCCAGUCGCAGAAUAAGCACAACUGCUGCCACCUUUGCCUUUGCAGGACUUUGAGCUCCGCUUGGCAUUGGAGGGAUUGGACGAGGAAUCCGUUGACGAUCCUGUUUUUUCUUCAGUGGUAGUUUACCGGUGAUCUGUGUUGAAGUACCCGUUUCACUUGUGUUAGCAAGUUUCACAGCUUUUGGGUUGUUGGAUCCGAUGGUAUGGUUUCUGAAACAUCUUCUGCAGUCACUAAAAUUGGCUAUUGACACAUCUUCCCAGUUCUUCGGCAGACAGAUUCGCAAAUCGACCAUGUUGGACUGGUUGACGGAUGGAACUUCUCCGAUAUUAUCGGUACAAUCUUGAGCGACUAAUGAGCAACGCCUCAGUAUACGCGAAGAAUCUCGUGGCAGCGUUGCCAGACGAGGGUGGGCUCGAGGAGUCUUGGAGUACAGUUAAAACAGCCGAGGCACCACCGGGAACGUGGAACGGAGUCGAUGGGACGAAUGGUUCGACGAGGAGUGCAGAGCGAUUUUGGAGGAGAAGAAUGCAGUGCAUGCGGUAAUGUUGCAGCAUGGAACUCGGCAGAACGUGGAACGAUACAAACAGAAGCGGAAACAGCAGGACCGUCUCUUUCGGGAGAGAAAGCGCCACCUGGAAGAAGCGGAGUGUGAGGGGUAAAAACGGGAGCAUCUUGACAGACGAACGAGAGGUGAUCGAACAGUGGAAGCAGCACUUGGAUGAGCAUCUGAAUGGUGUGGAGAGCGCAGACUGGGAGCACCAAGGCGAAAGAACUGACUACGUCAGCUCAACAGGGGGCAUCAACGAGCCAACUCCAACAUUGAGGGAAGCUAAGGAUGCUAUCCAGCAGAUCAAGAACAGUAAGUUAGCUGGGAAGGAUGGUAUCAGAACUGAACUCAUCAAAAUGGGCUAGGGAAAUUUGGCCUUGUGACGUCGCCGUUGGAGACAACACACAUACGUUGGUUCAUCGUCGGAUGCUCAGUGAUCUUGAUUUCCGUUCCAUCAACCAGCUUGUUCAUCGCAAGAACACGCCUGAACUGACCAAUAAAAGGCAUUACACCAACAGCUAGGCCUGCCUUGGUUUCUACCUGCCACCAUGUAGUUGUAGAACUUCAUUAGAAGUUACUUAGUUAUUUUCAGCUCCUCCUAGGCUUCUGUUACUUCAAUCCCAUUUUGCGCAAGUAUCUACCUAGGCCACUUCGCUUGCCUCGGUUUCUACUCGCAAAGAGGCAAAGUGACCUCAGACUCAAGCCGUGUCCCUUCAACUUAAAAUAUACCUUGGUCGGUCAAGCACUCUCGCAGCAACGACAUCACAAAGACUGCCUCUGUCGUUAUUUACUACCGUGUACCAAGUUAGUGGUUGGUACUACCACCUCAGUCUCCACCUGCAACCAUGUACUUCAACUCGCAAACAAAAUGGUCAAGUCUUUCAUUGUCGUCAUCGUCAUCAUAGUGUUACACAGAUCACCAUUAGGUACUGUCACAAAACUACACCAAUAGACUUGACUCUGUUUCUACUUGCAAUCAUGCACUUCGUCUCGAAGUAACUGUUGGUUGAGCCAUUCCCCGCCGUUUGCGUAUCUAGAGAUAUGAAAGCCUCAUCUACUGUAUUGUAAGUGGCUAGUCAAAAUUAUUAUUAUCUUUUCAGUUCAGAUUGAAUACCUGCGUCUGUUUUCACUCGCUACCAUGUAGUUUUCUUUAGAUAGUAGUUUUUAUUUUAUUUUAUAUUUUUCAUAUAUUUUUAAAUUUUCGUUCAAAAAUUUGGUUUUGAAGUAACUCAUUAUUUCAUUGCAGUUUUUUUUUAUUUUUUAGUUCGGAAUUUGUCCAAGUGUCGUAAAAAACACCUAAUCUUUUGAUGAACAUAAAAAAAUGCUUGGGCUGUUAAAAACUAACACAACACAAUCGGCUUACAUGAUUCACGCUUGUUAUGUGCGUCACCUGUACAAAGCCUACAGUGGAAGGAGAAAAAUAAACAAAAAUGAAUAACAAUCUGAAACAAAAGAAAAAAAAUAGAAAAGAGUAAAAAGCAGCAACUCCAAAUAAAUUAAAGAACAAUAAUUUUCUUCGUCCAUGGUAAUAGAAGUAUCCAUAUCAAAAAAGUGAAAAAAAGUUAUCGAAAAAUACAAUGUGUAACAAUUGGUAAAUCAAUAAUAAAACUAAAAAAUUCUUCUUCAGUUGUCUGUAUAUUAGCUAGAUAUUAAAAAAAGAAAACAACAAACAAAAAAGUGAAUUUCCGAGAAAAAAUUGUGAAAAUCGAUUCCGUUUGCGGCAAAAUUCAACGUUUGACGUUUCGAUGGUCGGCUUUCGGUCUUCUUCAGGGUGUUUAAAAACGUAAGGUUGAAAAAUACUCCAAAUCAAAGAUCGAACCGUCGGAAUUCAACCAUUGCUUGGCUGAAAUCGUUUGAAUCAGCGAAAUUGAUAGAAGAAAAGAAAAAUCAGAGGACGAAUGUUUCCGAGUGGAAGCACUGAAACGAAACAACAUGAAAAUACGCCAAUAUUUGAUAAGACUGUAAUUUAUAGCAAUACACUCACGAAAAAAUGGGACACGAAAGAAGAAGUAAUUACACAAACAAUGGAAAGCAUCUAGAGAAAGUGAUGUCUCAAUCCAAUCCCCAAAACAAGUAAAAAAAGGUUUUCGAAAAACUGUGUGAGAUGAUCAAAAAAGACAAAGUAAUUCGCAUACAAAAAGAAGAAGGAUUAGAGAAAAAUACACAAAAAAAAACUUUUAUAUAAAUACAAACUAGAAUCCAGAAGCAUUUAAAAUGAAACUUCACUAGAUGUAAAAAAAAACAAAAAGAGACAGUAAAAAGAAAGCAAAUCAUGAUUAUAGAGUUAAGAAAACUAUCCAUCCGUUUUUUCGCGCUUUGUUAAACAAACUGAACACUGAACAGAAACAGUAGCCACAUUUUCGCGUACAUUUCAACGAAUUUCGCAACCCCUCCCCAACCCCACUCAUUGUCCUUGUUGUAGCAUCCCUCCGCAGCAGCAGCAUCCACCAUCCGGUAACCCAUCGGUGUAUAUUGGUAGCCAGUAGCAGUAGUAGUACUAGUUAGAAGUUUAUAUUUAUACAUAUACGGUGCGGAGAGAGAGAUAUUGGUAAGCUUUGUAUCGAGAGGGCAAAAACACUGAAUCAAAACGUUCACGCCAUUAUAGCAGCAAAUCAGAGUCGAUCUUUUUUCUAAGUGUUUGUAAAUUGUUAUAGCCGUCAUGCGCCCCCCACAAA